GACGAACCGUGCGAACGUUAUUCGGAAUCACUGGGCUUAAAGCGCGUGUAGGCGGGCGGGAACGUCGGUCGCUGAAAUCCCCCGGCUCAACCGGGGAAGGGGCGCCGAAACGGUUCGCCUGGAGGAACGUAGGGGGAGCUGGAACUUCCGGUGGAGCGGUGAAAUGCGUUGAGAUCGGAAGGAACGCCCGUGGCGAAAGCGAGCUCCUGGACGUUUUCUGACGCUGAGACGCGAAAGCCAGGGGAGCGAACGG
rnacentral:rRNA from 1 species